rnacentral:rRNA from 1 species
GGAUCCAGACUUUGAUUCUGGCUCAGGACGAACGCUGGCGGCGCGCCUAACACAUGCAAGUCGAGCGGGAAGCUUUUUAAGGAUUCUUCGGAUGAAUUAAAAAGUGGAGAGCGGCGGACGGGUGAGUAACGCGUGAGAAACCUGCCCNAUACAGGGGGAUAGCCAUUGGAAACGAUGAUUAAUACCCCAUAUGACCACAGUAUCGCAUGAUACAGCGGUGAAAACUCCGGUGGUAUAGGAUGGUCUCGCGUCUGAUUAGCUAGUUGGUGGGGUAACGGCCUACCAAGGCGACGAUCAGUAGCCGGCCUGAGAGGGUGACCGGCCACACUGGAACUGAGACGCGGUCCAGACUCCUACGGGAGGCAGCAGUGGGGAAUAUUGCACAAUGGGCGAAAGCCUGAUGCAGCGACGCCGCGUGAACGAUGAAGGCUUUCGAGUCGUAAAGUUCUGUUCCUGGGGAAGAUAACGACGGUACCCAAGGAGAAAGCACCGGCUAAAUACGUGCCAGCAGCCGCGG